rnacentral:sRNA from 1 species
ACUCACCCUCCCACAGGUCACUCUUGUGCCAUGCGCACGUGGCUUACUGCGGGAGCGCUACGGGAAGGUGUGUGGUGGGAAUCCCAUGCAGAGAGAACAGCAAGGACAAAGACCCCGAGGCAGGACCAUGUUUAGGAAACUCCGGGCAUCCAGUGAAGCUAAGGGAGUAAGCAGGAUCAAAGUAGGAGACAAGCUGGAAAUGGAGAAGCUUCAGCUACAAGCCCUUGAGCAAGAGCACAAGAAGCUGGCUGCCCGCCUUGAGGAAGAGCGUGGCAAGAACAAGCAGGUGGUCCUGAUGCUGGUCAAAGAGUGCAAGCAGCUCUCAGGCAAAGUCAUAGAGGAGGCCCAGAAGCUCGAAGACAUAAUGGCCAAACUGGAA